rnacentral:tRNA from 1 species
GCCUGGGUGGCUCAGUCGGUUAAGCGUCUGACUUCAGCUCAGAUCAUGAUCUCAUGGUUCAUGAGUUCAAGCCUCACAUCAGGCU